rnacentral:ncRNA from 1 species
AUAGAAGGGCAAAAUACUUGAAAAAGUAUGACGCAAAGCUAUAGGACCUGAACAAAAGUAUGGUAGCCAGCUGCA